rnacentral:rRNA from 1 species
GUCCACGCCGUAAACGAUGUCGACUAGCCGCCGGGCCCUUAUGGGGCUAGGUGGCGCAGCCAACGCAUUAAGUCGACCGCCUGGGGAGUACGGCCGCAAGGUUAAAACUCAAAUGAAUUGACGGGGGCCCGCACAAGCGGUGGAGCAUGUGGUUUAAUUCGAUGCAACGCGAAGAACCUUACCUGCCCUUGACAUCCUGGGAACUUGCCGGAGACGGCUUGGUGCCUUCGGGAACCCAGAGACAGGUGCUGCAUGGCUGUCGU